rnacentral:rRNA from 1 species
UACGGGGGAGCAAGCGUUUGUUCGGAUUUACUGGGCGUAAAGGGCGCGUAGGCGGAUGAUACAGUCAGAUGUGAAAUUCCCGGGCUUAACCUGGGGGCUGCAUUUGAGACGGUGUUGUCUAGAGUGAGGAAGGAGGGUUGUGGAAUUCCCAGUGUAGAGGUGAAAUUUCGUAGAUAUUUGGGAAGAACACCGGUGGCGAAGGCGGCAACCUGGUCCUUGACUGACGCUAGGCGCGAAAGCGUGGGGGAGCAAACAGG